CGGAGCGUAGCUCAGUCUUUAGAGCGCGCGGCUUGGGCCCGCGAGGUCGCAGGUGAAAAUCCUGCCGUUCCGACCA
rnacentral:tRNA from 1 species